rnacentral:rRNA from 1 species
UACGUAGGGGGCGAGCGUUGUCCGGAUUUAUUGGGCGUAAAGCGCGGGCAGGCGGCCCCGUAAGUCGGCCGUGAAAGCGCCGGGCUCAACUCGGCGAGGACGGGCGAGACUGCGGGGCUCGAGCAAGGCAGAGGGCGGUGGAAUUCCGGGUGUAGUGGUGGAAUGCGUAGAGCUCCGGAGGAACACCAGUGGCGAAGGCGGUCUGCUGGGGUAAUGCUGACACUGAUGCGCGACAGCGUGGGGAGCAAACAGG